rnacentral:lncRNA from 1 species
UGGUGGAUUCUGAGGGUCAAACUCAGAUCCCCACGCCUGCAUGGCAAGCACUUUGCUCAGCUUGCCUUGGCUUUGUUUUUCAAGACAGAGUCUCUCUGUGUACCCUGUCAGUACUAUGAUUUACCUUGUAGACCAGACUGGCCUCAAACUCAGAGCUCUGCUAACCUCUGCCUCCUGAGUGCUGGGAUUAAAGGCGUGCACCAGCACUGCCUGGCUCCUGGUUGGUUUUUAUUCCUAUCCUUGCCUAUAAUUUGGAGACUCUUCAGUGGAUGCUGCUAUAUCCUUUUUCUCUGUUUAAUGACAGCUUCUUAUAGCACAAUUUAUGCUCAAAUCUUAAAUAUUGCCUUAGCUUUUCUAGGCUGUUUCCAUCUUGAUGAUCUGUAUUUUAAAAAUCUAUUUAUUUUUAUUUUUUAUUUUUAUUUAUUUUUUAUUUUUUAUUUAUUUAUUUAUUUUUUGAGACAGGGUUUCUCUGUGUAGUCCUGGCUGUUCUGGAACUCACUUUGUAGACCAGGCUGGCCUCGAACUCAGAAAUCCACCUGCCUCUGCCUCCCAAGUGCUGGGAUUAAAGGCUGCACCACCACCGCCCGGCUUGAUGGUCUGUAUUAAUGCUUGCCACUUUCCCUCUGAUUCAUGCAUGAUCUAACUCUCCCUGAUCAGUUAGUUUGGAUGCCACUCUGUCCAGACUUACAGGAUUUUGUGCAACAACUUUUGAGCCUGUAGAAGAAAGGAUGAUGUUCUGACUCUUUCCCUUCUUCUUCCUCCUCUUCCUUCUCUUCCUCUUCCUUCUCUUCCUCUUCUUUUCCUUCUCUUCCUCUUCUUUUCCUUCUCUUCCUGUUUUUCUGGGCCAUCUAUUUUUGGAUAUAGUGUACUCUAAAGUGUGGUUAAUAAACCCAGUGAGGAGCCAUUAGAGAAAACUAAUUUUUCCUUUGCAGGUAGGUAUCAAUGGCACCUAGCUUCUUGAUGAGGGUGGGAGCCUGUGUCCAUUCCUUCCUGUCAGUGAUGAGACCUCAUCUGGCUUGAUUAUGUGUAGGUCUUAUGUGUGCAUCAGUCCUGAUGUGUCUUGAAGUCAGUUUCCUUAGAGUAAUUUGGAUUUUGCAAUCUUUCUGUCUUCUCUUCCACAUAGUUCUCUGAGCCCAGAGGAGAGAGAUUUGAUGAAGACAUUUUACUUAGGACUGAGUGUUCUUGUACAUUCUCCACUUGUGGGUUUCUUCAUUAGUUUCUACUUAUUGCAAUAAGGUCUCUGAUGAUGGUCAAGACAAUGAUCUAUGAGUAUAGAAGAAUAUGUUACGAGUAAUUUUACUGAAGGCUUAAAUACUAUACCCAUUGAAGAACCAAUGUUUACCACUUUCCAUGUGGCCAAUAACCUGAUACUAAAUAGGCCAAGGACCUAGGGAAAACCCAAAUACUACUAUUCUGCUAAGUGAAUGUAUCAAUAAAAAUUUUAUAAUUCCAUUUUCAACAGCUGGAUAAUAUUCCAUCAUGUAAUGUAACACAUUUUCAUUAUCCUUGAAUUUAGCUUUUAUAUUCAUUCGUUAGUUGAUAGACUAGGCUGUUUCCAAUUUUUGGCAGCGAUGAACAUUGAUGAGCAAGUGUCUCUGUGGUAGGAUGUAAGGUUCAUUGGGUAGAUGCCCAGGAGUGGUGUAGCUGGAUGGUGAGUGGUGUAUCACUCUGGUGAGUGACAGAUCUACUCCCAGAUUCCCGAGCAGCUGCCACACUGACUUCCAUAUUGGCUCUACUAAGUGAGUCCUUAUAUUUUGACCAUUUCUUGAAGUUAGUAGUAAAAGGUUAUUAUUUGCAGUCCUGCUAAUAUAUUUUUGGUGUAUAUUUGGUUUGUGAAGGAAAUUUUUAAAGCCUGGAUCUGCACUGCCAUUGUUUUCCUUUGGAAGUGGCCUUACUUUAAGAUGUUAAAGUCUAUUUUUCUAAAUAGAUGAGAUCAAGUGUAUUCCAAAUGGUGGAAAUCAAACUCUUGGCUUUUAAUCACUGAGCAAACUCCCCAGCACAACACUAUUUUAAGUAGAAAUUCAAUAUGUUGAUUUUUCAAUAUGGGGUAUUGAACAGAAGGUCUUAUGCAAAUCAAAAAUGCUCUACCACUGAGCGACAUCCCCAGUCCUCAAGAUGGUGAUUUUAAGGAGUCUUCUGUUGCUUGUAUAUUUUUCUUAGCUUAUGAAAGGAAAAUAUUGGAAAGUAGAAUAAGACACCCACAUUAUUAGUAAGAGAGGAAAUAAAUUUUUUUGAACAUUUACUAACUGCUAGUGAGUGAGGCAGGCAACUACCUGCAUGAAUUUCUGACAGAAGCCAUGUUGGAAAUGCUAUGGCAAGCAAGUGAGUUUCCUGGAGAUGGCCGACCAUUUUUGCAUGGCUGUGAUGGGUGCACUCUGGAGAGGCACAGCUCCAGAGACUUCAUCCCAGGACUGCUCCUGCUCUUGAUAUACCGUUCCUAUCACUAUCACAUAGUCUAAUGUUUCCGGCAUAUCAGACCACACUAUUGGGCAAAUGUCCUGCAGAUCAACAUAAAGAUUAACUUUCAUGAAUUAAUGCUGUUUAGAUGAAUUAAUGACUUGAUACAAUUCCUGGUUUGAUUUAGAUAAUUUUAAGAAGAAAGUUUAAGUAGAUGGCUUUAGUUGUUUUGCCAGAAAGAUGUAAUAAAAUUAGAAUCAAGAAUAGAAUGUGCUCCCUCCUCAUAGGACAGUAAGCAAAGGCUGUAUAAUAAGGAAUAUAUUGAGCUUUCAUAAAUUGUACUAAGGAGAGUAAUAGGCUUGAGACAAAUUUGUGAUCAAGGAAAAACUUUCAUUAUAGGUCAGGUCCAAGGAUGAGGCUACAGCUGUGUACCAUGAUAAAGUAAGACCAUGUGAAACUGUUGCUUUAAACUUAUAAUGAGCUUAUAGAAUGAAACACUGCUUUAACUUACUAUGGUCAUCCUUCUCUAACUGUUUUAUUUUAUUUUAUUUUUAAUUUAUUUUUUACACUCCAUAUUCCACUCCCUGCCCCACAUCUACCAUCCGACUACUCCAUAUCCCACACCUCCACCCCUUCCUGUCUCCACAUGAAUGUCCCCAUCCCCCAUCCCACUUGACCUCUAAACUCCCUGGGGCCUCCAGUCUCUUGAGAGUUAGGUGCAUCAUCUCUGAAUGAACAAAGAUCCAGAAGUCCUCUACUGUAUGUGUGUUGGGGGCCUUAUAUCAGCUGGUGUAUGCUGUCUGUUUGUUGGCCCAGUGUUUAAGAGAUCUCGGGGGUCCAGAUUAAUUGAGGCUGCUAGUCCUACUACAGGAUCACCCUUCUUCUCAGCUUAAGCCUUCCCUAAUUCAACCACAGGGGUCAGCUGCUUCUGUUCGUUGGUCGGGUGCAAAUAUUUGUAUCUGACUUUUUCAGCUGCUUGUUGAGUCUUCCGUAGGGCAGUCAUGAUAGAUACCUUUUUGUGAGUGCGCCAUAGCCUCAGUAAUAGUGUCAGGCCUUGGUACCUCCCCUUGAGCUAUAUCCCACUUUGGGCCUGUCACUGGACCUUCUUUUCCUCAGGGUCCUCUCCAUUUCCACUCCUGUAAUUCUUUCAGACAGGAACAAUUAUGGGUCAGAGAUGUGACUGUGGGAUGGCAACCCCAUCCCUCACUUGAUGUCCUGUUUUCCUGCUGGAGGUAGGCUCUGUAAGUUCCCUCUCCCUACUGUUGGGCAUUUCAUCUAAUGUCCCUCCCUUUGAAUCCUGGGAGUCUCUCACCUCCCAGAUCUCUGGUGCAUUCUGAGGGUCCCCGCCAACAUCUUAUUUCCUGAGGUUGCCUGUUUCCAUUCUUUCUGCUGGCCCUUAGGGCUUCAGUCCUUUUCCCUCACCCAAUACCAGAUCAGGUUCACCUCUCCUCCCACUCCCCCACCCCAUCCACUUUCCCUCCCAGGUCCCUCCCUCCCUUCUUGCUUGUGAUUGUUCUCUUCUCCUUCUCAAGUGGGACUGAGGCAUCCUCACUUGGACACUUCAGCUUGUUGAACUUUCUGAGUUCUGUGGACUGUACCUUGAGUAUUAUGAACAGUUUUUUUUUUUUUUUUUUUGCUAACAUCCACUUAUUAGUGAUUACAUAUCAUGCAUGUCCUUUGGGUCUGAGUUACCUCACUCAGGAUGAUAUUUUCUAGUUCCAUCCAUUUCCCUGCAAAACUCCAGAUGUCCUUGUUCUUAAUAGCUGAGUAGUUCUCCAUUGUGUAUUGAAGACCCAGAAAUAAAACCACACACUUAGGAUCACUUGAUCUUUGACAAAGACGCCAAAAAUAUACAAUGGUAUAAAGAAAGAAUCUUCAAUAAAUGGUGGUGGUCUAACUGGCUGUCUGUAUGUAGAAGAAUGAAAAUAGACCCAUAUUAUUCACCUUGUACAAAGCUCAAAUCCAAGUGGAUCAAGGUCCUCAACAUAAAGCCAGAUACACUGAAUCUAAAAGAAGAGUGGGAAAUAUCCUUGAACUCAUUGGUACAGGGGGAAAUUUCCUAAACAGAAUUCCAGUGACUCAGGUGCUAAGAUCAAGAAUUGAUAAAUGGGACCUCAUGAAACUACAAAGCUUCUGUAAGGCAAAGGACAUAGUCAAUAAGACAAAUCAGCAACCUAUAGAUUGGGGAAAAAAAUCUUCACUAACCACACAUCCAAUAGAGGGCUAAUAUCCAAAAUAUAUGAAGAACUCAAGAAGUUAAUCAUAAAAAAAACCAAAACCAAACAACCC